GGAUCUCUUGGCUCUCGCAUCGAUGAAGAACGCAGCGAAAUGCGAUAAGUAAUGUGAAUUGCAGAAUUCAGUGAAUCAUCGAAUCUUUGAACGCACCUUGCACUCUUUGGUAUUCCGAAGAGUAUGCCUGUUUGAGUGUCAUGAAAUCUUCAACCAUUCUGUUGGGUGUUUACGCCUGGCGGUUUGGAUUGGACUUGGGUGUUUGUCGGACAAGCAAUUGUCUGACUCACCUUAAAAGGAUCAGUGGAUCUAUUGUCUUGGACUUUUGCAUUGCAAUUGGUUUGACUUGGCGUAAUAAGUAUUUCGCUAAGGACAGUGCUUCGGUGCUGGCCAUUGCUUUUCAACCGGACUUUGGAAAUCGCUUUCUAACCCUAAUUUUAUUUGACAUCUGGCCUCAAAUCAGGUAGGACUACCCGCUGAACUUAAGCAUAUCAAUAAGCGGAGGAAAAGAAACUAACAAGGAUUCCCCUAGUAACGGCGAGUGAAGCGGGAAGAGCUCAAAUUUGAAAUCUAGUAGCCUUCGGCUGCUCGAGUUGUAAUCUAUAGAAAUGUUUUCCGUGCUGGCUCAUGUACAAGUCCCUUGGAACAGGGCGUCAUAGAGGGUGAGAAUCCCGUACUUGACAUGAAUUACCAGUGCUCUGUGAUACAUUUUCAAAGAGU
rnacentral:rRNA from 1 species